rnacentral:rRNA from 1 species
CAUGUAGGCGGUCUGCUAAGUUCGGAGUGACAGUCACCAGCUUAACUGGUGAAGUGCUUUGAAAACUGGCUGACUUGAGAGCGAGAGAGGGACAUGGAAUUCCGGGUGGAGCGGUGAAAUGCGUAGAGAUCCGGAGGAACACCAAAGGCGAAGGCAGUGUCCUGGCUCGUUUCUGACGCUGAGGUGCGAAAGCCAGGGGAGCGAACGGGAUUAGAUACCCCGGUAGUCCUGGCCGUAAACGAUGACCACCAGGCGUGGGAGGGAUCGACCCCUUCCGUGCCGUAGUCAACACAUUAAGUGGUCCGCCUGGGGAGUACGGUCGCAAGACUAAA